rnacentral:rRNA from 1 species
AUGAACGCUGGCGGCGUGCCUAAUACAUGCAAGUCGAGCGAACGGACGAGAAGCUUGCUUCUCUGAUGUUAGCGGCGGACGGGUGAGUAACACGUGGAUAACCUACCUAUAAGACUGGGAUAACUUCGGGAAACCGGAGCUAAUACCGGAUAAUAUUUUGAACCGCAUGGUUCAAAAGUGAAAGACGGUCUUGCUGUCACUUAUAGAUGGAUCCGCGCUGCAUUAGCUAGUUGGUAAGGUAACGGCUUACCAAGGCAACGAUGCAUAGCCGACCUGAGAGGGUGAUCGGCCACACUGGAACUGAGACACGGUCCAGACUCCUACGGGAGGCAGCAGUAGGGAAUCCUCCGCAAUGGGCGAAAGCCUGACGGAGCAACGCCGCGUGAGUGAUGAAGGUCUUCGGAUCGUAAAACUCUGUUAUUAGGGAAGAACAUAUGUGUAAGUAACUGUGCACAUCUUGACGGUACCUAAUCAGAAAGCCACGGCUAACUACGUG